rnacentral:misc_RNA from 1 species
UGCUCGUAGUCGCUCGCGUUCGCCUUGCCAUCGUCCUUUACAAGCACGGGCACGACAGUGGCACCGCAGCCGUCCAAGGAGUAUCCGCCGUCGUCGUCCGGCUCGCCGUAACGCCCUCCGAUGCGGGCGAAAGUGCGGUUGCCGCAUCUCGUCAUCUCCACAAGCCCCUCCUCGUCCGGCGCCGGCGCCGGCGCCUUGGUGCAGUUGUACAGGAUGAGGUCCUGGUUGAGAGGGCUGAUGGAGAACGGGAGGGCGACCUUGGUGGAGCUGUUGUUCCCGGGGAUGCGGCAGACGGCGGAGUCGCCGCCGCCGUCCGAGGCUCCCAGCUUCUCGAGCUUGUGGGUGUCGGCGACGAGCAAGGAGGCGUUGGUGUAGGAGACGCUGAGGAUCUGGAGCCAGUGGUCGUACCGGCUGUAUCCGAGGUACGGCGUGCCGUUGACGCAGCGGACCUGGAACCCGAUCCCGCCGCAGUUGGUGGCCGUCGCCUGCUCCUGGACGAUCCCGAACGGGAAGGCGAUCUCCACGCCGCCGCAUAGCACGGGCGGGCAGUGUGCUCCUCCGCCCCCUUGCCCGUCAGCUGGUGAUGCCGAGGCAAGCGUUAGCGUCAGCGACAGGGCGAUCCACACCGACCAGACGGACGAGGUCGAGGCCAUGGUGGUGGGGGGAGCAUGGGUGGGUAGCAGCGACGAGAC